UACGUAGGGUGCAAGCGUUAAUCGGAAUUACUGGGCGUAAAGCGUGCGCAGGCGGUUUUGUAAGUCUGACGUGAAAUCCCCGGGCUCAACCUGGGAAUUGCGUUGGGGACUGCAAGGCUAGAAUCUGGCAGAGGGGGGUAGAAUUCCACGUGUAGCAGUGAAAUGCGUAGAGAUGUGGAGGAACACCGAUGGCGAAGGCAGCCCCCUGGGUCAAGAUUGACGCUCAUGCACGAAAGCGUGGGGAGCAAACAGG
rnacentral:rRNA from 1 species